rnacentral:rRNA from 1 species
CAGUCGCCACGGGAAUACGAAGGGUGCAAGCGUUAAUCGGAAUUACUGGGCGUAAAGCGUGCGUAGGCGGUGAGUUAAGUCUGCUGUGAAAUCCCCGGGCUCAACCUGGGAAUGGCAAUGGAUACUGGCAAGCUAGAGUGUGUCAGAGGAUGGUGGAAUUCCCGGUGUAGCGGUGAAAUGCGUAGAGAUCGGGAGGAACAUCAGUGGCGAAGGCGGCCAUCUGGGACAACACUGACGCUGAGGCACGAAAGCGUGGGGAGCAAACAGGAUUAGAUACCCGCGUAGUCCCUGUCUCUUAUAC